rnacentral:rRNA from 1 species
AUUGAACGCUGGCUGCAGGCCUAACCCAUGCAAGUCGAGCGAAGCGGCGGACGGGUGAGUCAUGCCUAGGAUUCUGCCUGGUAGUGGGGGCUAACGUCCGGAAACGGGCGCUAAUACCGCAUACUAUCAGAUGAGACUAGGUCGGAUUAGCUAGUUGGUGGGGGAAAGGCCUACCAAGGUGACUAGCCGUAACUGGUCGGAGAGGAUGAUCAGUAAAACUGGAACUGAGACACGGUCCAGACUCCGACGGGAGGCAGCAGUGGGGAAUAUUGGACAAUGGACGAAAGCCUGAUCCAGCCAUGCCGCGUGUGUGAAGAAGGUCUUCGGAUUGUAAAGCACUGUAAGUUGGGAGGCGUUACCAACAGAAUAAGCACCGGCUAACUUCGUGCCAGCAGCCGCGGUAAUUC